GCAGGUGUAGUUCAAUGGUAGAACUUCAGCCUUCCAAGCUGAUAGCGUGGGUUCGAUUCCCAUCACCUGCUCCA
rnacentral:tRNA from 3 species